AUGAACAGGAGUUACGUGAAGAGGAGAACAAAGUCCAGGCAGGGCCGGGGAAGCGCGUGCCAAGGCACUGAGGGGAAGUGCUGCAAUGAACCUCAGAGGCUGGAUCUUGCUGACUCAUCUGGGGUGCCAAGGACAGGUACCCUGAGAAGCUGUCACCUUGGCAACUGUCACCUUCUGGUGAGAUUUACAAUUGCACUGCUACAUCUGCUGUGGCAUGGUAAAGUUGCACCAGGACCUCUGCUGUCCAUGAGAUCAAAGCUCCAGGCCAACGCACCAGGGGCACAAACAGUGUUGCCCACAUGGAACUCACAUUUAAUGGGAGCGGCAGCCAACAGGACAGAGAAGAAACUAACAAGAGUGUUUACCUCUGAGGAGGAGAAUUGGGAAGCUGAGAGCAGAGGAAGGUGGAAGACUUACUUUUCACUGUGUUCUUUUUUGUACCUUUUGAAUUUUGUACCACAUGCUGAAUCUUUGACCCAUUUGCAAGUAUAA
rnacentral:lncRNA from 1 species